rfam:Oryza sativa Japonica Group DNA, chromosome 12, cultivar: Nipponbare, complete sequence.
UUGUUUCAUGGCUUUAAUUUGAGCCGCGGAUCCUACUCUGAAAACGGAAAUACCCACAUUAAUAGCAAGCCCGAAUUCCGGCAUUGAAUAGAUCUGCCCACGGGUCGUCAACUUCUUUUCUCGGAGAAGAAACAAUGACGGUAUCUGAGGAAUAAGCAUCGGCUAACUCUGUGCCAGCAGCCGCGGUAAGACAGAGGAUGCAAGCGUUAUCCGGAAUGAUUGGGCGUAAAGCGUCUGUAGGUGGCUUUUCAAGUCCGCCGUCAAAUCCUAGGGCUCAACCCUGGACAGGCGGUGGAAACUACCAAGCUGGAGUACGGUAGGGGCAGAGGGAAUUUCCGGUGGAGCGGUGAAAUGCAUUGAGAUCAGAAAGAACACCAACGGCGAAAGCACUCUGCUGGGCCGAUACUGACAUUGAGAGACGAAAGCUAGGGGAGCAAAUGGGAUGAUGAUGAUGUCCGAUCGAUCUCGACGUACCCCGCCGUCCAAAAAGACUAAACAAGGAGGAGAUUAGUACAUUG